AUUUUAUUCCAAUUUAAUAAUUUUUUUAAAAUAAUGAUAAUAGUAAUAAUUGUUUAAAUUAUUUUCCCGGUCAUUGGGGUAUGAAAAAAAAAACAAAAAUACAUGUUGAUUGUGCAAUUAUCUGUUACGAGAUGUAAUUGAUCAAUUUGGAUAUGAUUAUGUCUGUACGUGCAUUUAUUUAUGCUUGUGAUAUUAUUAUAUUAAAAUUUUAUUUUUGUAAAAAAAAAUACAAAGAUAAUUUUAAAAAUUAUUUUAAUUGCGCGAUAGUGAUCAUAAAUAUUUUUAGGAGUUUUUAAAAUAUUAAAAAUAUUAUAUUUAUAAGGGCAUGAUUUUUAAUUAGUUUCUAAAUGCAGCCAACUUCUUAAUGUUGUAUAAAUUUUGAAAAUGCUCUUUAAAUCCCGAAACUUUUAUUUUAUUAGUUUUAUAAUAUUCGGAGAUUUAUAAAAAUGUUUCGGUGAUUUUUCGAGAAAGUUUUGUUACGAGUUAUUCCGUAAACAGAUUAAUUGCGGGUGUGUAACCAUGAUUAUUCAACAUAAAAUAAAACGUGGCAGCCAGAAACCACACCACCUGUCCUGAAACUCCCCAGCUGUUCCCCUUUUGUUUAUUUCUAUUGUUCUUUUCUUUCUUUUUGGUAUUGAACAUCACAGACUCUCCCGUCUCCUCAAUCUCUCACCGCCAUCCCUCUACACACUUCACCGCCUAUAAAUCUCACCCCGUACUCAACCCCAUUGCUUUAUUUUCACCAUCCUCCUUAUUUCAUCGGAUUCUCCGUCGCCGUGAUCUCUUCAGCCGCGUGUUUAGUCCUCCAACAGCCAUAUAUUCGCCCUGUUCUUAGCCAAUUCAACCAACUCCUACACCUUGCACCUGUUGGCUUGGAUAGCAGUUGAAUUGAAGACAUUGACCGAGGCAUUGAUCGAGAAGUGAUUGAAAUGGGUAUCCAGAAUUAGCCAAGUAGUGUUGCAAGUUGAAGUAGGGCGGAGAUUUGUUAUAGAUAAAAGCUUGUCAGAAGCUGACAGAGAGGAAUGAUAUGACGGUAUAUAGUAUUAUUAUAAAUCUGAGCUAGACACCGGAGUUAAGGCAAGUACCUCUACCUUUCUCUCGCAAUUUGGAAGCAAGUAUUUCUACCCUACUCCUCUAGUACCUAUAGAUACUAAAACCUUCUUUAUAUCAUGAUUCAAAUUAUUUGCAAUUACUUUCUUGUGAAGCAUAUCUAGUACUUUUAAACUUUUUGGUUGAACGGAUAACACUUUUGGUAUCAACUCUACACUAUGAUAUGCAUAAAGAAAUUGUUUUAACAAAAUGUUAUUCUGGCUCUUGAAUUACAUGAUGGAACUGCAGAUUGUUUUAAAAAUUAAACUAUUGGGUUGUUUUUGCGUAAGAGGCUCGGGCACCGGCCCAGCGUGAAAGGUGGCUCCUUAAGCCCGGAUUACCGGAAUUCGUAAUAUUUGUCAACCUUGCUGAAUAAGCUUGGUUUAUGGACUAUAGCAUGACUGAUCAUCUGUUAUAGCCAGGUGUCCAAUUAUUUUUAAAGCCCAAUAAAAUUGUGAAUAGUUUAAAAAGAAGUUACCCUGCCUUCAAGAGAUAUUUGCUUAUACAUUCAUUUCUACAGUUUUAAAUAUUUUCACUUCUUUAUUAUGGCAUUGCUGUACAACAAAUAUCAAUUUCAUUUUGUUAUUCUUGCUGAGCAUUAUUGCUCAUUCUUGCUAUUCCUUCUAACCCUUUUCAGCUAGGAAUAAAGAUGAUUCACUUAAGACUAGGCAAGGAUUGCAAGAGGUUGAGUUUCAAGCAGAUGGACAGGUAGAGUAUUUAGGACGAUGACAUUAAGACUAGAUGCAGUGGAGUUCUGCAAUUCAAUUCAGUUGGAAAUUAGAUUUGUUUAUUUGGUUAUCAGCUACUCUUCUUAUCGAGGUUUAGCUGAUAAUGUAGUUUAAUUUGUAAAUAAGAUUUUAUAAUUUUAGUUUCUGAUUUCAAUGUUGUAGCCUGUAUGCGAUCCUGUUUUCAGGGGGUGAAAUUGAUUCUGAAUUAAAGACCUUCUUUUAAAAAAAAUAAUAUCCAGGUUUAGAAAUACUUGUUUGUACUUUCUUCCAAAAUACAGGUUUUAAAUUGUUUUUCUUUUAAUGGCUCAAAACUACAGGUUUUAAAUUAUUUUUAUUUACACGUGGCACCAGAUCCAGACCCCCGGAUUUGAGGGAUGUCACAGUUGGUAUCAGAGCGAGGUUAUAAGUUAUUGAAAUCAGAAUGUAGGUUGUAACUUGUCUAAUAAGAUAGACACGUUAAGUGAAACCUCACAUAUAGGUAAGUUCAGAUUAGUGGUGUAACCUCAUAUAGAGGUAUCGUAAGACUAUUUGGGGAUAGUCCUUUUGAGCAUAAUAAAAUGAAGCUAAACGAUUAUGUUUAAGUGAUUAUGGUUAUAGACACAACAAUUCCUAAUUCUAGUUCUUCCAGUCCCUAGUGGCCUAGUUUAUUGACCAAUUCAGAUUUAUAUCAUUGUAAGAGGGUCAAAGUUAGACCUAUCAACAGAACCUUCAAGCUAGAACCAGUAGAGAUUCUCACACAGUCUAAUGUAUCCUUUAUAGUAUCUUCCAAGUGUUGAGUAUUAUUUGAAGAGUCACCUUUUGAUUCUUGUCAGAGAUAUAUAGAAGUGGUGAAAGAAUAUAGGUGUUAACAGGUCUGAUUUUAUACUUUGUAUAUAGUUAAUAGUGAGCGUUAGAGCUACGUAGAGUUCGUGUUAGAUUACUCGAUCUUAUACUGAUAAGUGUGUUAAGGCGUCAACGCUCUAUGGUGAUGAUUGUAUAAAGCUGGAUAAGACUUCUGACCGACAACGAUAUCAAUGAUAGGAUCUUUAGAGGCUAUUACAAGUCGAUGAUAAUAUAUGCAAGUGAUCAGUAGAACGUCGAGAAGUAUCAUUAGAAUCAAAACGAGUCAUCAAAGGAUUCAGUAAAGAAGACAUCUGUGAGAAUCCUGACAAUACCUUCCUCAUGUUGAUUAUAUAGAUUUCUUUCCCCAUCAAUGAUUUGUUCUGACAUCACCUUCAUAAAGACAUUCGAUAAAGAAUAUAUUUUUCCCUCUCACUUGAGUUCUUGAAUGAUACUUGUGCUUAAUGUAACACCCUUAGAUACUAUUCAGUUUUGGUAAUUUUGAUCCCUUUCAUGUUCUCUACUCUAACUGAGGUGAACAACCCUACUUAUAGGGGACACAAGAACUACCUGUCUGUGUGAUAGUAGUUGGAUGGGACGCCAUCACUUGUGUGUGUUGAAUAUACAAGAAGGUUAACUACCUUUAGUAGUGUCUUAAUUUAGACACGCAACACCGAGUUCUUUAGAUCAUAUUGAUCUCUCAGUCAUUCUUUUAUUUCAAUCACGCAACACUUGCUCCAAUAUAUGAAAUCUGUCAUAUCUUUUAUCUUCAAGAUUCUUGUAAUCACUAAUAGUUGAAGGUAUGCCAAUUUAGUUGCCAAGAUAAAUUAAGUCUUUAUAGUAGGAAGUACCAUGAACAAAAGAGGAUGAUGAUGCGGCUAUACGAGCAAUCAAGAGAAUUUUACAUCAGAAAGGAGAAUUACGGAUUAUAGAGAUCGUACGCUCUAGGAUUUUUUUUUUUUUUUUUUUUGCUGAUUCCGAGGACGGAAUCCUUUUAAGGGGGGUAGAUUGUGACGACCCGGAAUUUCAGAAAUUAUUUUAUUAUUUUUAUUCCUGAUUUUUCGAGGGAAAUGAGGAAUGAAAUUUAAUAUUUUAUUCCAAUUUAAUAAUUUUUUUAAAAUAAUGAUAAUAGUAAUAAUUGUUUAAAUUAUUUUCCCGGUCAUUGGGGUAUGAAAAAAAAAACAAAAAUACAUGUUGAUUGUGCAAUUAUCUGUUACGAGAUGUAAUUGAUCAAUUUGGAUAUGAUUAUGUCUGUACGUGCAUUUAUUUAUGCUUGUGAUAUUAUUAUAUUAAAAUUUUAUUUUUGUAAAAAAAAAUACAAAGAUAAUUUUAAAAAUUAUUUUAAUUGCGCGAUAGUGAUCAUAAAUAUUUUUAGGAGUUUUUAAAAUAUUAAAAAUAUUAUAUUUAUAAGGGCAUGAUUUUUAAUUAGUUUCUAAAUGCAGCCAACUUCUUAAUGUUGUAUAAAUUUUGAAAAUGCUCUUUAAAUCCCGAAACUUUUAUUUUAUUAGUUUUAUAAUAUUCGGAGAUUUAUAAAAAUGUUUCGGUGAUUUUUCGAGAAAGUUUUGUUACGAGUUAUUCCGUAAACAGAUUAAUUGCGGGUGUGUAACCAUGAUUAUUCAACAUAAAAUAAAACGUGGCAGCCAGAAACCACACCACCUGUCCUGAAACUCCCCAGCUGUUCCCCUUUUGUUUAUUUCUAUUGUUCUUUUCUUUCUUUUUGGUAUUGAACAUCACAGACUCUCCCGUCUCCUCAAUCUCUCACCGCCAUCCCUCUACACACUUCACCGCCUAUAAAUCUCACCCCGUACUCAACCCCAUUGCUUUAUUUUCACCAUCCUCCUUAUUUCAUCGGAUUCUCCGUCGCCGUGAUCUCUUCAGCCGCGUGUUUAGUCCUCCAACAGCCAUAUAUUCGCCCUGUUCUUAGCCAAUUCAACCAACUCCUACACCUUGCACCUGUUGGCUUGGAUAGCAGUUGAAUUGAAGACAUUGACCGAGGCAUUGAUCGAGAAGUGAUUGAAAUGGGUAUCCAGAAUUAGCCAAGUAGUGUUGCAAGUUGAAGUAGGGCGGAGAUUUGUUAUAGAUAAAAGCUUGUCAGAAGCUGACAGAGAGGAAUGAUAUGACGGUAUAUAGUAUUAUUAUAAAUCUGAGCUAGACACCGGAGUUAAGGCAAGUACCUCUACCUUUCUCUCGCAAUUUGGAAGCAAGUAUUUCUACCCUACUCCUCUAGUACCUAUAGAUACUAAAACCUUCUUUAUAUCAUGAUUCAAAUUAUUUGCAAUUACUUUCUUGUGAAGCAUAUCUAGUACUUUUAAACUUUUUGGUUGAACGGAUAACACUUUUGGUAUCAACUCUACACUAUGAUAUGCAUAAAGAAAUUGUUUUAACAAAAUGUUAUUCUGGCUCUUGAAUUACAUGAUGGAACUGCAGAUUGUUUUAAAAAUUAAACUAUUGGGUUGUUUUUGCGUAAGAGGCUCGGGCACCGGCCCAGCGUGAAAGGUGGCUCCUUAAGCCCGGAUUACCGGAAUUCGUAAUAUUUGUCAACCUUGCUGAAUAAGCUUGGUUUAUGGACUAUAGCAUGACUGAUCAUCUGUUAUAGCCAGGUGUCCAAUUAUUUUUAAAGCCCAAUAAAAUUGUGAAUAGUUUAAAAAGAAGUUACCCUGCCUUCAAGAGAUAUUUGCUUAUACAUUCAUUUCUACAGUUUUAAAUAUUUUCACUUCUUUAUUAUGGCAUUGCUGUACAACAAAUAUCAAUUUCAUUUUGUUAUUCUUGCUGAGCAUUAUUGCUCAUUCUUGCUAUUCCUUCUAACCCUUUUCAGCUAGGAAUAAAGAUGAUUCACUUAAGACUAGGCAAGGAUUGCAAGAGGUUGAGUUUCAAGCAGAUGGACAGGUAGAGUAUUUAGGACGAUGACAUUAAGACUAGAUGCAGUGGAGUUCUGCAAUUCAAUUCAGUUGGAAAUUAGAUUUGUUUAUUUGGUUAUCAGCUACUCUUCUUAUCGAGGUUUAGCUGAUAAUGUAGUUUAAUUUGUAAAUAAGAUUUUAUAAUUUUAGUUUCUGAUUUCAAUGUUGUAGCCUGUAUGCGAUCCUGUUUUCAGGGGGUGAAAUUGAUUCUGAAUUAAAGACCUUCUUUUAAAAAAAAUAAUAUCCAGGUUUAGAAAUACUUGUUUGUACUUUCUUCCAAAA